UGGGAAUGGAAUCAGCCCUUUCAAGAUCACACGAAAAGCCAAAGAUAUUGGUGGUUCGACAGGCGAUCGUCUCAUUUCCUCAUAUAUGUCCAUCGCCUCGAUCUGAGAAUCCAUUAUCCAAGAAGGCCCUCGUUAUGUCCCCAAAGGUAUGCUGAUCAAACAAAACUUCCUCUCUCUUCAAAUCUUGCCAGACCUGCUCUGCUUCAUCUACCUUCUUGUUUCUUGCAAGCAUCGAUCAUAAGCAUGUCCCUGAAAGAGAACAUGUCUGGCGCCGAUACCAUAUUUCUUUGCGCACGACAUUGUAUAACUGAAGAAUACACACAGAUCCUAAAUCAAUAAAAAUCGCAUGUGCACGAAAUAUAGACGAAAUACUUGUAAACAUCAAUGCAAAUUAAUACAGCAGUGUGAAUAUUUGUGCCCUUGAAAUGAUUGAGCUACCAUAUCGUCAGGGGAGAGAGAGAGAGAGAAUUAUUCCAAACAAAAUUUUGGCUUCUGAUCAUCCACUUCUAACUCACACAAGAAUAAUAGAACAUCUGUUGAACUGUAUCAUGUUGUCCAAUAAGAUUGUGAAAACAUCCAGAAGGAAAAGGUAUUAUCAAAGUGCUGGGAGAGUCAAAUGCCUGCAUGUGCAUGACUCUCUGUCCCUUUUUUCACUAGUUUCACAACCGCAGACUUGGCAAAUCCUUGUAAUUUUAACCUCGUCUAAAGUGAAGAAUUUCUCACAUCCAUCAAAAAAUUCAAAUCAUUGGGAAAGUUACAUAUAUAUAAAAGGACCUCUAUUUCUAGCAAAUUGCAAUGAGCAUCCUGUCUGUUUCACAAGUUACUCUGCGUGCUUGAAUGAUGGUCGGCAUCUUGUAAUUUUUAGUAGUAACACUUUGCAACUGCAGUUAAUGUUCAUGAAAAAUAUUAAAACUAUAAGAAAAUUGUCAUUAGUUACAUCAGCACAUUUACUUGGGGGUGUUUAGAGUGAAUUUGAAUUUUUUUAUUUUAUAGCAGUCAUACAGUCAUUUUUGUUUUUGGUAUAUGGAUUUAAUCAACAAGUUCAAACCAAAACUUGAAAUGGAAAAAAUUUAGCAGUGCAAAAAAAAUUAUUCAUCAGAAAAGGGACAGCAACAAAUGCCUAAAGCAGCAGAUUCAAGCCUGAUCUAGAAGCUAAGCAAACACACUUCUACAGAAGCAUCUUUUCUCAAAACCUGUGCUGCUCCUCGAGACCGAACCAGAGUGAUGAAAAGAUAAACCUGCCCACCAAAAUGGCAAAACAGAUAGCGAAAGUGAAGCAACCUCUGGUGGCCCAGAAGAAAAAAGGAAAAUGUUCAAACACUUGGCUCGUACACAAACAAAACAGGACACGAUAUGCAUCCAAAUCUCAGGCAGCCUGAGCAUAAAUUACAGGCCAUGACUUUUUACUAUGAUUAGCAACUACCACCUUUGCAUACCACAAAACUCAGCCAUAAACUUCGUUAACUAGACACACCAGCUACAAGCACUCGCUAGAUGCUCAGGUAGACUACUGCACCAGUAUACUUACAGAAAAUGAACACCAUUUUGUCUUGUUUAGCAUUCCGGUCGACUGUAUUUAUAAAAAAUAUUGAAUUUUUUUAAUUUCAAAUUAUUUUUUUAUGUGUGUUUUUAAAUUCAAAAAUAAAUUCCCAGCAAUGCAACAAAUGCUUUCCCUAAUAGCACCCAUCCAUACAACCCAAGAGAAUAGAACCAGAUCGUUUUUGACGACAAACAAUUCAAAAACCACUUUCCUCUUCAAAAACCAGAUCGUUUCAGAGGCUUCGUUUUGCAGGGGCUUAUUAGUCUCUUUUAUGGCUUGUGAGUUGCUUUCCUUGUGAUGUUUUUUUUAUGUUUCAAGGCUAGAGGGAGCUUUCUUUUUCCUCGGAGAAGGGAUGGGGCCCAUGGCGGGUGCUUCAAGGCUGGGUGAGAAGCUUUUCGUUUGCUUCAUAUUGAUUGCUGAGACGGUCAACGACUCAUUCCUCUCAGGCUAUGGGUUUUCGUUGAAUUUAUUGAACUUGGUCUCUGUGUGGUAAAUUCUCAACUUUCCGUUUAUUUUCUAAGGUUGUGAAAGCUUUUUGAGAUUUUUUUUCUAUAUUUUUUAAUUUGAUUUUGUAUGGUUGACCGAUUUGACAGCUGAUUCAAGUUCUUCUCCGAAGGUAAUGAUAUCUUUUGAACUUUAAUGAAUGUUUCACCGCAUUCCCGAACAUUCUCCACGGGGUUGAAUUUUUAUUUUUUAUUUUUUUUAUAAGAGAUAAUGUUUAAAAAAAAUGAAUCCAUGAAAAAAAUUAAAUUAACAUCGGAUAUAUCAUAAGAGAUUUAGAUAAUUGGAUAUAAAAAAAAUUAAAAAAAAAACCACAAAAUUCAUUUUAAAAAAUAAUUUUAAAUGAUAAAAUAAACAAAAAUAAAACAAAAUAAUGAUAUCAAAUCACGUUAAAUUUUAAAACUCUGGAUCAUUAAAUUUUAAUGUAUUUUAUUUGAAAAAAAACAUUCUCAAUUCUUAAUCAAUUAAAUAUUAAAGAUGAAAUUAAAAAAAAUAAGAAUUAACAUAGAAAAAAAAUUUGAUAAAUAUAUAAAUUAAAAAUAUUAACAUUUUUAUGUGUUUUACAUAUAUAAAAAAAUAAAAAAUAAAACUCAUCUGUUUUUUUAAUCGAAGUUAUGCAAAGAACAAAUGUUGGUGAAUGCUCACCGCAAGAAACUAUUGCACGGAGGUGGUUGCCAACCAGAUGACUGCAACGAGGAUUGCCAAGCCAAGUUUGGAAAGCAAGCGAUGUCGUUUUGCUUGUUUUUAAAAAAUCCAGGUGACACUUGUUUACGUCAAUAUCCUUGUAAAGUGUGUCUCAAUGACAAUGAUAAAUCCAUUGUUUUUAUUUCUCUCUGACAUGAAAUAAAAUGUCAAAUUAUUCAAACAAUAUAAUCCACAAUAAAUUAACAAAAAAUAAAUCAGUUAGUCAAUAUAUUCGCUCGCACAUGUGCGCGUGUGGCUGGUUGGAGUGGUAAAGCAUGCAAAGACAAUUGCGUCUCUGUGCUGCUUGUCAAAAAUUCAAUGUUUUUCUGAAAAAACAAAUAAUUUAAAAAUAAUUAUUACCGUAAUGCCACAGAAGCUCUGAGAUAUUUGCAUCCG
rnacentral:lncRNA from 1 species